rnacentral:rRNA from 1 species
ACGAGAAAGGGACUUCGGUCCUGAGUAUAGUGGCGCACGGGUGAGUAACACGUGACUAAUCUACCCUCGAGUGGGGAAUAACUGAGAGAAAUCUUAGCUAAUACCGCAUAACACUUACGAGUCAAAGCAGCAAUGCGCUUGGGGAGGAGGUCGCGGCCGAUUAGCUAGUUGGCGGGGUAAUGGCCCACCAAGGCGAUGAUCGGUAUCCGGCCUGAGAGGGCGCACGGACACACUGGAACUGAAACACGGUCCAGACUCCUACGGGAGGCAGCAGUGGGGAAUUUUGCGCAAUGGGGGAAACCCUGACGCAGCAACGCCGCGUGGAGGAUGAAGUCCCUUGGGACGUAAACUCCUUUCGAUCGGGACGAUUAUGACGGUACCGAGAGAAGAAGCCCCGGCUAACUUCGUGCCAGCAGCCGCGGUAAUACGAGGGGGGCAAGCGUUGUUCGGAAUUAUUGGGCGUAAAGGGUGCGUAGGCGGUUUGAUAAGUCUGAUGUGAAAUCUCUGGGCUCAACCCAGAGUCUGCAUUAGAAACUGUCGGGCUUGAGUAUGGGAGAGGUGAGUGGAAUUUCCGGUGUAGCGGUGAAAUGCGUAGAUAUCGGAAGGAACACCUGUGGCGAAAGCGGCUCACUGGACCAUAACUGACGCUGAGGCACGAAAGCUAGGGGAGCAAACAGGAUUAGAUACCCUGGUAGUCCUAGCC